CCUACGGGGGGCAGCAGUGGGGAAUAUUGGACAAUGGGGGCAACCCUGAUCCAGCCAUGCCGCGUGUGUGAAGAAGGCCCUCGGGUUGUAAAGCACUUUCAGUGAGGAAGAACGCCUGGUGGUUAAUACCCAUCAGGAAAGACAUCACUCACAGAAGAAGCACCGGCUAACUCCGUGCCAGCAGCCGCGGUAAUACGGAGGGUGCGAGCGUUAAUCGGAAUUACUGGGCGUAAAGCGCGCGUAGGUGGCUUGAUAAGCCGGUUGUGAAAGCCCCGGGCUCAACCUGGGAACGGCAUCCGGAACUGUCAAGCUAGAGUGCAGGAGAGGAAGGUAGAAUUCCCGGUGUAGCGGUGAAAUGCGUAGAGAUCGGGAGGAAUACCAGUGGCGAAGGCGGCCUUCUGGACUGACACUGACACUGAGGUGCGAAAGCGUGGGUAGCAAACAGGAUUAGAUACCCUGGUAGUU
rnacentral:rRNA from 1 species